UGGGUGAUUAGCUCAGCUGGGAGAGCAUCUCCCUUACAAGGAGAGGGUCGGCGGUUCGAUCCCGUCAUCACCCACCAA
rnacentral:tRNA from 1 species